rnacentral:rRNA from 1 species
GAGGAAUAUUGGGCAAUGGACGCAAGUCUGACCCAGCAACGCCGCGUGGAGGAUGAAGGCCGUAAGGUUGUAAACUCCUUUUGAGAAGGAUGAAAAUUUCUGAUCGACUCAGAAUUUGACCAUACUUCUAGAAGAAGCCCCGGCUAACUACGUGCCAGCAGCCGCGGUAAUACGUAGGGGGCAAGCGUUGUCCGGAUUCACUGGGUGUAAAGGGCGCGUAGGCGGGUUUGGUAGUCAGAGGUGAAAUCCUGCAGCUUAACUGUAGAACUGCCUCUGAUACUGCAAAUCUUGAGUUCAGAAGAGAGUAGCGGAAUUCCAGGUGUAGUGGUGAAAUACGUAGAUAUCUGGAAGAACACCAGUGGCGAAGGCGGCUACUUGGUCUGCAACUGACGCUGAGGCGCGAAAGCGUGGGGAUCAAAC